AUGCCGCGUGAGUGAAGAGGGCCUUUGGGUUGUAAAGCUCUUUUGUAGGGGAAGAUAAUGACUGUACCCUAAGAAUAAGGUCCGGCUAACUUCGUGCCAGCAGCCGCGGUAAUACGAAGGGACCUAGCGUAGUUCGGAAUUACUGGGCGUAAAGCGCGCGUAGGCCGUUGAGUUAGUUAAUUGUGAAAUCCCAAAGCUUAACUUUGGAACUGCAAUUAAAACUGCUCGACUAGAGUUUGAUAGAGGAAAGCGGAAUACAUAGUGUAGAGGUGAAAUUCGUAGAUAUUAUGUAGAACACCAGUUGCGAAGGCGGCUUUCUGGGUCAACACUGACGCUGAGGCGCGAAAGUAUGGGUAGCAAAGAGGAUUAGAUACCCUCGUAGUCCAUACCAUAAACGAUGAUUGCUAGAUGUUGGAAAUUUAUUUUCAGUAUCGCAGCUAACGCAUUAAGCUAUCCGCCUGGGGAGUACGACCGCAAGGUUAAAACUCAAAUGAAUUGACGGGGACCCGCACAAGCGGUGGAGCAUGUGGUUUAAUUCGAAGAUACGCGCAGAACCUUACCAACCCUUGACAUGUCUGUCGCGAGUUUAGGAAACUAGACUUUUCGGUUCGGCCGGACCGAACCCAGGUGCUGCAUGGCUGUCGUCAGCUCGUGUCGUGA
rnacentral:rRNA from 1 species